GAUGAACGCUGGCGGCGUGCCUCAAACAUGCAAGUCGAGCGGGGCUAUGUAAUAUCGCAAGGUAGAACAUAGCCUAGCGGCGAACGGGUGAGUAACACGUGGGUAACCUGCCUGGAAGACAGGGAUAACGAUUCGAAAGGGUCGCUAAUACCUGAUAAUAUCCUUUCAUCGCAUGGUGAUAGGAAGAAAGGGGAAACCCGCUUUCAGAUGGGCCCGCGUCCCAUCAGCUAGUUGGUAAGGUAAAGGCUUACCAAGGCGACGACGGGUAGCCGGUCUGAGAGGAUGUACGGCCACACUGGGACUGAGAUACGGUCCAAACUCCUACGGGAGGCAGCAGUGAGGAAUAUUGGUCAAUGGACAGAAGUCUGAACCAGCCAAGUCGCGUGAAGGAAGAAGGUCUUACGGAUUGUAAACUUCUUUAGCAGGGGAAUAAAAGACGAUACGAGUUAUCGUGUUGAAAGUACUUUGCGAAAAAGGAUCGGCUAACUCCGUGCCAGCAGCCGCGGUAAUGAGU
rnacentral:rRNA from 1 species